CCUACGGGUGGCAGCAGUGAGGAAUAUUGGGCAAUGGGCGCAAGCCUGACCCAGCCAUGCCGCGUGCAGGAUGACGGCGCUAUGCGUUGUAAACUGCUUUUGUUCGGGAAGAAACCCAUCUACGUGUAGGUGGUUGACGGUACCGAAAGAAUAAGCAUCGGCUAACUCCGUGCCAGCAGCCGCGGUAAUACGGAGGAUGCGGGUGUUAUCCGGAUUCAUUGGGGUUAAAGGGUACGUAGGCGGAAUCUUAGAAAUCCUGCAGCUUAACUGUAGAACUGUCAUUGAUACUGGUAUUCUUGAAUGCAGUUGAGGUAGGCGGAAUGUGUAAUGUAGCGGUGAAAUGCUUAGAUAUUACACAGAACACCGAUUGCGAAGGCAGCUUACUAAACUGUUAUUGACGCUGAGGCACGAAAGCGUGGGGAGCAAACAGGAUUAGAUACCCCGGUAGUC
rnacentral:rRNA from 1 species